CUGGAUGAUUCAUUAAUUAGGAGUCAAGGAAAAUAAAGAAUUGAAGAUGAUCCCAAGUUUUGUGUUUGUUUCCUGAAUACUUGUGGGUAAUAACAAUAACGUGUGUAGAAUGAGGAAAGCUGACUUUUGGUAGAAAUAGGUGAGUUUUGGUUUUUUAUUUUCUAGUGGAAAAGUGGUGGGGCUAAUCACAACUGCUUAUUUUUGUGCCAGGUAAUUUUGCAUAUGUUAUUGCACUUAAUCUCCUGACUACCUGAGAGCAAAUCAUCAUUUUCCUUUUUCUGUAUGUAGUAUGAGAUUCCAAGACCAAGUGACCUUUCUAAAGCCACAGAGGUUUUAGGUGAUACAGCAGGAUGUGCGCCUGUAUUUCCUGACUCCAAACUCCAUGUUGUGCCUAUUGUCCUCCACAAAAGUGAGUCGUGGGAAGAUAUGUGGAUUGUCCCAGCAUAAAGGAAGAGAGAGACUCAUUUUUUCCCAGGUGAAAUUGAGAGUUUAUUUCAUGCCAUGGGCCAAAAGGAAGGAGCAGAACAAAGAAGAAAAGAGUAUUGUGAGCCAAAUUCCCUAAGAUGCCUUCAUGGAAAACAACCUGGAGCUAUGUUAAUAAUUGCAACGAUACCUGACAUUCAUUGAGAUCUCUGAGAAUACUAACUGGUGAGUUACACAUGCUCACAUACAGUCUGUUUAGUCCUCACAGCAAACCUAUGAUUUUACAUAUUAGUUAUUUAUGACCACAGUGGUACUGCAAAGCAAAAAACAGCCAAACCAUAAUAAGUGUUAAUUAUUGCUCACACAUCUGGGAUCUAAGCAGUACUGAUUAUCUGAGCUGGACUCACUCAAGUCCAGGGGUCAGCUGCUUCUUGGCUGACCUAGGCAAGCUCUGGCUACUAUGAGUCUAUUCCACCUGUUUCUCAUCCUUGGAGGCUUGAAGACCCAGCAUGUUCUUGUCCUGAAAGCAGAAGUGCAAAAGCACAGUAUCUCUGUGCAAGUACACUUUUAG
rnacentral:lncRNA from 1 species